UAGGAUGUUGGCUUAGAAGCAGCCACCCUUUAAAGAAAGCGUAAUAGCUCACUGAUCGAGUCGUCCUGCGCGGAAGAUGUAACGGGGCUAAGCGAUAAACCGAAGCUGCGGGUGUGUACUAUGUACACGCGGUAGGAGAGCGUUCUGUAAGCCUGCGAAGGUGGCUUGUGAAGGCUGCUGGAGGUAUCAGAAGUGCGAAUUCUGACAUGAGUAGCGAUAAAGGGGGUGAAAAGCCCCCUCGCCGUAAGUCCAAGGUUUCCUGCGAACGUUCAUCGGCGCAGGGUGAGUCGGCCCCUAAGGCGAGGCAGAGAUGCGUAGCUGAUGGGAAGCUGGUUAAUAUUCCAGCACCGUCGUACAGUGCGAUGGGGGGACGGAUCGCGGAAGAUCAUCAGGGUGUUGGAUGUCCCUGUUGCUGCAUUGAAGAUGGCGCUUAGGCAAAUCCGGGCGCGUAAAUCAAGGGUGUGGCUCGAGCGAGCAUGUCUCGCGAAGUGAUUGGAAGUGGUUCCAAGAAUAGCCUCUAAGCUUCAGCUGUACGAGACCGUACCGCAAACCGACGCAGGUGGACGGGAUGAAUAUUCCAAGGCGCUUGAGAGAACUCGGGAGAAGGAACUCGGCAAAUUAAUACCGUAACUUCGGGAGAAGGUAUGCCCCGGUAGUGUGAGGCGCCUGCGCGCUGAGCAUGAUGGGGUCGCAGAGAAUCGGUGGCUGCGACUGUUUAUUAAAAACACAGCACUCUGCAAGGACGAAAGUCGACGUAUAGGGUGUGACGCCUGCCCGGUGCCGGAAGGUUAAGUGAUGGGGUGCAAGCUCUUGAUCGAAGCCCCGGUAAACGGCGGCCGUAACUAUAAUGGUCCUAAGGUAGCGAAAUUCCUUGUCGGG
rnacentral:rRNA from 1 species